UACAGAGGUCCCAAGCGUUGUUCGGAUUCACUGGGCGUAAAGGGUGCGUAGGUGGUUUGGUAAGUCCGAUGUGAAAUCUCCAGGCUCAACCUGGAAAUGGCAUUGGAUACUAUCAAGCUUGAGGAGUGGAGGGGGGACUGGAAUUCUCGGUGUAGCAGUGAAAUGCGUAGAUAUCGAGAGGAACACCAGUGGCGAAGGCGAGUCCCUGGACACUUCCUGACACUGAGGCACGAAAGCUAGGGGAGCAAACAGG
rnacentral:rRNA from 1 species